rnacentral:ncRNA from 1 species
UUUAAAUCUUUUCAGCUUCGGUAUUGGAAUCUAAUCGUCAUUCUUAUUUCUCCUAAUCAACCUCGGUCAGUUUCACCGGGGUUUUU